CCUACGGGUGGCAGCAGUGGGGAAUAUUGCACAAUGGGGGCAACCCUGAUGCAGCGACGCCGCGUGAGUGAAGAAGUAUUUCGGUUUGUAAAGCUCUAUCAUUAGGGAAGAAAAUGAUGGUACCUGCUUAAGAAGCACCCGCUAACUACGUGCCAGCAGCCGCAGUAAUACGUAGGGGGCAAGCGUUAUCCGGAUUUACUGGGGGUAAAGGGAGCGUAGGCGGCAGCACAAGUCUGAAGUGAAAUGCCGGGGCUUAACCCCGGAACUGCUUUGGAAAUUGUGCAGCUAGAGUGCAGGAGAGGUAAGUGGAAUUCCGAGUGUAGCGGUGAAAUGCGUAGAUAUUAGGAGGAACACCAGUGGCGAAGGCGGCUUACUGGACUGUAACUGACGUUGAGGCUCGAAAGCGUGGGGAGCAAACAGGAUUAGAUACCCCUGUAGUC
rnacentral:rRNA from 1 species